AACCAAACCAAUCCAUAUUUAUGGAGGCCAGUGGUUAGCAACAUUAAGGCUUGAAAGUUAAGUGACAGGUAGUGUACGAAAUUGGCUGGGAGCUCGGGGCGUUAAUAAAGAAUCUUGCAAGUUUUGAACGUUUAAAGUCUGUUGAACAAUAUUUAUAUAUCUGUUUUAAGAUCCGCCUGUGGAUCCACAUACAACCGUUUGUGUAAUAUUUAAAUUAUACUUUAAAUUUCAGUUUUGUAAUAUUAUUUUCAUCUAA